UUGAACACACAGGCAGUUUGUAGGUCAUGGGUGCUUGCUGGUUCGAAGAUCAAAUCCGAUGCUGAGGAGCAAAGCAGAAGUGAGCUGCCAUUUCCCAUGAUUUCUGGCCGGAAUGCCUCCUACACAGACACACCCUAUCGGGACUUCACAUUGCAGGCUGGACAGGAUCAUAUGAGGGUGAUUUUGAUCCUUCGACGGACCCUCGUUCCCCUUAUCACCGUCUAUCUCACUCUUGCAAUCAUCUACCAUGCCCUUAAAAUGGACUGGCCACCAUUUGAAAACAAAUUAACAUGCAAUCUUUGA
rnacentral:lncRNA from 1 species